rnacentral:rRNA from 1 species
AGAGUUUGAUCAUGGCUCAGGAUGAACGCUGGCGGCGUGCCUAAUACAUGCAAGUCGAACGCUUCGAUUUAUCGAAGAGUGGCGAACGGGUGAGUAAUACAUAAGUAACCUGCCCUUGACAGGGGGAUAACUACUAGAAAUGGUAGCUAAGACCGCAUAGGUGGAUUGAUCGCAUGAUUGAUUCAUUAAAAGGCCUUCCAAGGUCUGGACAAGGAUGGACUUAUGUCGCAUUAGCUAGUUGGUAAGGUAACGGCUUACCAAGGCGACGAUGCGUAGCCGGCCUGAGAGGGUGAACGGCCACAUUGGGACUGAGACACGGCCCAAACUCCUACGGGAGGCAGCAGUAGGGAAUUUUCGGCAAUGGGGGAAACCCUGACCGAGCAACGCCGCGUGAAGGAAGAAGGAAUUCGUUUCGUAAACUUCUGUUAUAAAGGAAGAAAGAUGACAUCAGGAAAUGGUUGUCAAGUGACGGUACUUUAUGAGAAAGCCACGGCUAACUACGUGCCAGCAGCCGCGGUAAUACGUAGG